rnacentral:rRNA from 1 species
GAGCGUUAAUCGGAAUUACUGGGCGUAAAGCGCACGCAGGCGGUUUGUUAAGCUAGAUGUGAAAGCCCCGGGCUCAACCUGGGAUGGUCAUUUAGAACUGGCAGACUAGAGUCUUGGAGAGGGGAGUGGAAUUCCAGGUGUAGCGGUGAAAUGCGUAGAUAUCUGGAGGAACAUCAGUGGCGAAGGCGACUCCCUGGCCAAAGACUGACGCUCAUGUGCGAAAGUGUGGGUAGCGAACAGGAUUAGAUACCCUGGUAGUCCACACCGUAAACGCUGUCUACUAGCUGUUUGUGACUUUAAGUCGUGAGUAGCGAAGCUAACGCGCUAAGUAGACCGCCUGGGGAGUACGGCCGCAAGGUUAAAACUCAAAUGAAUUGACGGGGGCCCGCACAAGCGGUGGAGCAUGUGGUUUAAUUCGAUGCAACGCGAAGAACCUUACCUACACUUGACAUGCAGAGAACUUUCUAGAGAUAGAUUGGUGCCUUCGGGAACUCUGACACAGGUGCUGCAUGGCUGUCGUCAGCUCGUGUCGUGAGAUGUUGGGUUAAGUCCCGCAACGAGCGCAACCCUUGUCCUUAGUUGCCAGCAUUAAGUUGGGCACUCUAAGGAGACUGCCGGUGACAAACCGGAGGAAGGUGGGGACGACGUCAAGUCAUCAUGGCCCUUACGUGUAGGGCUACACACGUGCUACAAUGGCAUUUACAGAGGGAAGCGAGACAGUGAUGUGGAGCGGACCCCUUAAAGAAUGUCGUAGUCCGGAUUGGAGUCUGCAACUCGACUCCAUGAAGUC